AGUGAACGCUGGCGGUAGGCCUAACACAUGCAAGUCGAACGGCAGCACAGUAAGAGCUUGCUCUUACGGGUGGCGAGUGGCGGACGGGUGAGGAAUACAUCGGAAUCUACUUUUUCGUGGGGGAUAACGUAGGGAAACUUACGCUAAUACCGCAUACGACCUACGGGUGAAAGCAGGGAAUCUUCGGACCUUGCGCGAUUGAAUGAGCCGAGGUCGGAUUAGCUAGUUGGCGGGGUAAAGGCCCACCAAGGCGACGAUCCGUAGCUGGUCUGAGAGGAUGAUCAGCCACACUGGAACUGAGACACGGUCCAGACUCCUACGGGAGGCAGCAGUGGGGAAUAUUGGACGAUGUGGGCAAGCCUGAUCCAGCCAUACCGCGUGGGUGAAGAAGGCCUUCGGGUUGUAAAGCCCUUUUGUUGGGGAAGAAAGGCAGCAGGUUAAUACCCCGCUGUUCUGACGGUACCCAAAGAAUAAGCACCGGCUAACUUCGUG
rnacentral:rRNA from 1 species